ACGUCAAGUCAUCAUGGCCCUUACGGCCUGGGCUACACACGUGCUACAAUGGUCGGUACAGAGGGUUGCCAAGCCGCGAGGUGGAGCUAAUCCCACAAAACCGAUCGUAGUCCGGAUCGCAGUCUGCAACUCGACUGCGUGAAGUCGGAAUCGCUAGUAAUCGCGAAUCAGAAUGUCGCGGUGAAUACGUUCCCGGGCCUUGUACACACCGCCCGUCACACCAUGGGAGUGGGUUGCACCAGAAGUAGCUA
rnacentral:rRNA from 1 species